UGAUCCUGGCUCAGGACGAACGCUGGCGGCGUGCUUAACACAUGCAAGUGGAGCGACGAACCAGGGCUUGCCCUGGGGCAGAGCCGCGAACGGGUGAGUAACACGUGGGUAACCUGCCCCGAAGACCGGGACAACCCGAGGAAACUCGGGCUAAUACCGGAUGUGGUUGCUCUUCAUAAGUAGAGCAAGCAAAGGGAGCUUCGGCCCCCGCUUCGGGAUGGGCCCGCGGCCCAUUAGCUUGUUGGUGAGGUAACGGCUCACCAAGGCUUCGAUGGGUAGCUGGUCUGAGAGGACGAUCAGCCACACUGGGACUGAGACACGGCCCAGACUCCUACGGGAGGCAGCAGUGGGGAAUCUUGCGCAAUGGGCGACAGCCUGACGCAGCAACGCCGCGUGAGGGAAGAAGGCUUUCGGGUCGUAAACCUCUUUCAGGAGGGACGAAGCUUCGGGGGUGAAUAGCCUUCCGGAGUGACGGUACUUCCACAAGAAGCCCCGGCUAACUACGUGCCAGCAGCCGCGGUAAUACGUAGGGGGCUAGCGUUGUCCGGAAUCAUUGGGCGUAAAGAGCGCGUAGGCGGCCAGAUAAGUCCGGUGUGAAAGUCAAAGGCUCAACCUUUGAAUGCCGCUGGAAACUGUCUGGCUAGAGUCCGGGAGGGGCGAGUGGAAUUCCUGGU
rnacentral:rRNA from 1 species